GACGAACGCUGGCGGCGUGCCUAAUACAUGCAAGUCGAACGCAGUGGGGACGGGUGAGUAACACGUGGGUAACCUCCCAUCAGAGGGGAUAAAACUUGGAAACAGGUGCUAAACCGAUAUUGAUGGAUGGAACCGCGGUGAAUUAGCGAGGUGGUGGGGUAACGGCUCACCAGGGCCACGAUGCUUAGGGCACGUGCGUGGGUGAGCGACCACCUUGGGACUGAGACACGGCCCAUACUCGUACGGUAGGCAGCAGUAGGGAAUCUUCGGCAAGUGACGAUAUCCUGACCUAGCAACGCCGCGUAAGUGAAGAAGGUUUUCGGAUCGUAAAACUCUGUUGUUAGAGAAGCGGUAUCUAACCAGAAAGCCACGGCUAACUACGUGCCAGCAGCCGCGGUAAUAC
rnacentral:rRNA from 1 species